CCACACCCAAGGUGGGGCUCGAACUCAUGACUCUGAGAUCAAGAGUUGCAUGCUGUUUUGACUGAGUCAGCCAGGCAUCGCAAGACAGACAUCUGAGUGCUUAUUUCACCUGUAACAUGGGCCUGGAAGAUUGGCAUGAGUUGUUAAAAUAACGUGUGUCCACUACAAUGCCAGCCACAGGGUAAGUGUAUCUGAGCUGGGGGACUGGAUGGCGGGGGUGGGGGCUGGAGGGGGCGUUUAAUGGGUAGGAGGCACUGCACUUAGAUGGGGCGCCUGGGAGACUCAGUCUCUUAAGCAUCCUACUUUGCCUCAGGUCUUGAUCUCACAGUUCAUGAGUUCGAGCCCUCAUUGGGCUCUAUGCUGACAGCUCAGAACCUGGAGCCUGUUUCAGAUUCUGUAUCUCCCCCCCCUGCCCCUCCCCCACUCUCAAAAAUAAACAUUUUAAAAAAGAAAGAAAGAAAGACAGACAUUGAAUAGCUUGUGAUAUUUAUUCAUGAUUAAGAAAGAAUGAAAACAGGGGCGCCUGAGUGGCUCAGUGGGUUGAGCGUUCAACUUAGGCUCAGGUCACGAUCUCGUGAGUUCAAGCCCUGCCGUCAGGCUCUGUGCUGACAGCUCAAAGCCUGGAGCCUGCCUCACAUUCUGUCUCCCUCUCUCUCUGCCCCUCUCCCGCUCACACUCCACUCUGUCUCUCUUUCUCUCUCUCUCAAAGAUAAACAUUUAAAAAUUAAAAAAAAAAGAAAAAAGAAUGAAAACAAAUGACUUACACAUUCAGUUCUUGUAGUUAGAAAAAGGCCAUCAAAAUAACCCAAGGAAAGCCAAGGAAGGGAUUACGUAAGGAAAAAGAACACAAACGAAAGGAGUGGAAAACUUACAAAACAGAAGUGACAAAAGAAGGGAAAAGUCUGCACAAGUCCAAGUGGGGAAACACUAGAAAACCUGAAGGUGUAGAGAAAGUACUUCUAAUCUCCAACGCCGGGAACAUUUGAGCUUUUAGCUGCAAAAGGGCCCUAAAAGAAAAUCUUGAGGAAGUUUGGCUUAGGAAAAAAAAAAAAAUGUUUAGACAAACAAACAAAACAGCAGAGGAAUCAUCCUGUCAUCGGGGAGAAAAAGAGCUGAGUGUUGUGGUCACAUCAACAGGUCCCACAAAGCUGUCGACUAAUUGCAGCUUUGCUAAAGUUCGUUGAUGACAAAUGAGUAAGUAAGUGCCGAGCUGUGGGAGGUGUCUGGGCGGCUGGGCCUAACACGGGCAUUUCUCCAUACAUAGGCAUUCGCGGGGCCUAGUGCGGUAAGGGCUCUGAGUUCACGGUAAUACCUCAGAGGAUGGACGUGGACAAGAGAUUCAGGAAGGGCUUGUGUGCUGGGGCUUGCCUUCUAGGAAUCCUGCAGAAGUCAGGGUCUGAAGAAGGCUGAGAUAGACCCUGUGGCGGGACGCCGGGCCGUCACAGUCAUUCUGGCCUGGAAAAGCUGAGCCGGUGAUGAGGGAGCAUCAGGCGAGCCGAGGGGGGAAGCACAAGCUGGCAUCCCCCCCCCCCUCCCCCCCCCCGGUUGGAUACUGGUGGCAUUCCUCAGGCACCUUGGCUGCCCAAGGACAAAGGGGAGGAAAGAAAACAAAUAGUUAACUGAUGGAGACCCCAGUCCUGCAGACUGGAGUCUCCAUCAGUUUGCAAAUAUCUUAGUAAAUUCCAAGAAAAAGGCAAUCUUAUCAACAGCCUAAUCUCCAGAAACCUCAUAUCCUGGAGCCCCAACGUCACCCUCCCGUCCACAGUGAUGUGGGAACAAAGGCAAGAAGGAAAUGGCAGGUAAGAUUAAACUUCCUUAUAACCUGCAGCCCAUUGGCAAAUACUUGAGGCACACACAGAGUAGAACAUUUCUCCAGAAACCCCCUGCUGUCCUGAUGUUAAUGCCUUACUAGAGGGAAAACCACCUUUGCUUGAAGACAGCAAGGCCUCAGGUGUCCUGGGAGUCCUCCUUAGCACAUCACAGUCCCUCUGGAGGCCUCCCAUUUGACUCUGUCUCCCCAACUCCAUAGUUGGUCACUCUGCACAACCCUCGUGCAGCUCUUUCUGUCCAUGAAUCCUAUCCCUGUGCUUUAAUAAAAUGGCCAUUUAAAAAAAAAUUUAAAAAAAAUUUUGUUUUGACAUUUGCUCAUUUUAGAGAGACAGAGCAUGAGUAGGGGAGGGGCAGAGAGAGAAGGAGACACAGAAUCCGAAGCAGGCUCCAGGCCCCAGGCUGUCAGCACAGAGCCCGAUGUGGGGCUCAAACUCACGAACUGUGAGAUCAUGACCUGAGCCGAAGUCGGACGUUUAACUGACUGAGCUACCCAGGCGCCCCAGUAAAAUCACCCUUUUGCACCAAAGACGUCUCAAGAAUUCUUUCUUGGCUGUUAACUCCGAACCCCCACCAGCCCAAGACCUCAUCACUGCCACUUGUGGCCACAUGGAUGAACCCAGGGAUAGGUGGAUUAGAGAGUGGACGAAAAGUGCCCCCCCCCCACCAGCUGCUAGAAGAACAGAAUUGUCAUUAACUGAGAUGAUUGGGAGGACCGUAAGGGAAACAGAUUUGGGGGAGAAUAUUAGAGUUGUUUUGGGAUACAUUAAAUUGGUAAUAUCUUUGAGACGUCCAGUGGGAGUUGAUAAGGAAGCAGUUAGGUGUACAGAUUUUGAGUAUGUAGUGCAGGUCUGGGCUGAGAUACAAAAUUUGGGAAUGUUUAUUUAUUUAAGUUUGAGGGGGCGGAUUGCAGGGGAAGGGCAGAGAGAGAGAGAGAGAGAGAGAAUCCCAAGCAGGCUCCGUGCUCAGCGAGGAGCCUGACAUCGGGCUCCAUCCCUGGGAUUAUGACUUGAGCCGAAACCAAGAGUCUGACGUGUAACCGUGUCACCAACUAAGCCACCCAGGCGCCCCGGGAGUCAUCCUUUAAAUUCUGAACAUAGUAUAAACUCACUAGGGGGGUGAAUUUAGAUGAGAGGAAUCUGAAAUCUGAGUUCUGGAGUCCCCCCACUUUCUAGGCUGAGGAGGCAACACUGAGGGAGCCUGAGGGGGAAGGUAAGUUAGUUAGGGUGAGUGUGGGGUCAGCUGGAAGUCAGCCAGUUGUGUUCCAAGGAGGGAGUAAUUAAGUGAGUCAAAUUCUACUGACAGGUAGGACUGAGAACUGCCUGAAAAUUAUUUCUAAUUGCACAAAACAAACCCCCUAUGAAAUAGGUUAUUUUUUAUUUUCAAUGUAUAGUUGAAAAAAUCUGGAGAUGGUUUUGCCCCCAGAUCCCAUAGCUACUCAGGAACAGAAUUAGUGAUUCACAAUGCUAGAUGAAGUUUACAUAAUGCUUUCUGUCCGAGGAAACGUCUGUGAGUAGAAUUCAACUUAUCCAGGACAAGAACAUCAGGGGAAAAAGAAAGAGAAGGUCUCAACUAAAGUAGGGUUAUGGACCCUACAGAGGAGGCAGAAGUCAGAAAAUACAAGGCCAUGUUGUUGUUGUUGUUUUUUAAAUGUUUGUUUAUUUUUGAGAGAAUGACAGAGAGAGAGUGAGGGAGGGGCAGAGAGAGAGGGAGACACAGAAUCCGAAGCGGGCUCCAGGCUCUGAGCUAUCAGCACAGAGCCCGUUGCGGGGUUGAACUCGUGAACCGUGAGAUCAUGACCUGAGUCGAAGUUGAACGCUAACCGACUGAGCCACCCAGGCGGCCCAAGCCCAUAUUUUUUUUUAAAGCACUUUGCAAAAGCAACAGAAGAAGGAGCCUUGGAAAAUUAAAUCAAUGAGAAUAUUUGGGAAAGCUCUGAGAAAGAAGAAAAUGAGGCCAGCCCUACUAGUCAUUAAAACAUAAAAGACUUAGGGUUCCUGGGUGGCCCAGUCGGUUAAGCGGUUGACUCGGGCUUAGGUCAUGAUCUCAGGGUUUGUGGGUUCGAGCACCACAUUAGGCUCUGUGCUGACAGCUCGGAGCCUGGAGCCUGCUUCGGAUUCUGUGUCUCCCUCUCUCUCUCUGCCCUCCCCCACUCAUACUCCGUCUCUCUCUCAAAAGUAAAUAAACAUUUAAAAAAAUUAAAAAAAAACAUUAUAAGCUUGUACAAUAAGAUUAUGGUAUUGGGGCAUGAAUACAUAGAUCAAUGAAACAGAGUAGAAAAUCCAAAAAUAAUUACAUCUGGAAAUUGAAUAUGUGAUAAAGCUGGCAUCUGAAAUCAAUGGAGGAAAAAGUCCUUCUUUGUAAAUAGUAUUGGGGUAAAUAGAUAGCCAGACAGUCAUAUCCGUUUCUCUACACAAGAUGAAUUCCGGAUGGGUCAAAGAUUUAAAAACUUCUUAAAGAAACAAAGCUGUAUAAUUACUAGAAGGAAGUAAGAGCGGAUUCCUCCGUAAUUAAGGAAUUGGGGAAACUUCCUGAACUCAAAAUCCGGAGGCAAUUAAGGAAAAGACUGAAAUUUGGACUAUACAAAACAACAGUGACAGUAAAAUUUUUGCGUUAGCGAAACACAUCAUAAGCAAAAUAAAAAGACAAGUUAAAAACUGCGAUAGGUAUUUCUGACUUACAAAGGAUUAAUGGUGUCUGAUUGUGUUCUGGAGAGCAAGGAGGACUCCUGGUUCAGUCUUUGCCAAUUGCCAUGGUGUAAACCCUCCCACCACAGUAGAUUUUAAGUUGCCAAAAUGCGCUCACCUGCACCCAUGUGACAUCAGCUGGGUCACAAAAUUCCUGACGAUUUAACAAUCGGUGCUUGUAGGCAGGCUCUCAGCACAUCACCAUCAGUAUCCUUCAUAAAUAUACGAAGGGCUUCAUCACUUGGAGAAGAAAAGGAAAACCAUCACCUUGUGGAAAAUAGACAGGAGAUAUACACACACAAUUCACACACACACAAUAAUGAAAAUAAAGGACCUUUAAAUAUGUGAAAAGAUGUACAGUCACACUUAAAGGAAAUGCAAAUGAAAAGUGCACGAAGAUACUAUUCCCCAACUCUCAGGUUGGCAGAAAUCUAAAAGUUUAGACAGCAAAACGUGUUGACAAAGCAGUCAGGGAACAAGCACUUUAAUUUUUUGCUGGUGGGAACGCAAAAAUGGUAUAAUCCAGGGGGAGGGGAAUUUGGCACUAUCUAGUAAAAUUGCAUAGAUAUUAACUUGUCGAUCCAAAUAUCUCACUUUUAGGCCUCAAGCCUAAAGAUCCACUGACAAAAAUACAAAAAGAUACAUAAGGUUGCUCAGUGACCACUGUUUGCAAAACCAAAAAAGUGGAAACAACUUCAACGAUCAUCCAUCACAGAAUGCUUUCAUAAACUAGGACCCGUUCACAUACUAGAAUUAGUACAUAGCUCUAAAAACAAGUAAGAAAUACCUCUAUGUACUGCUAUGACAUGAUAUCCAGUGAAAAAAAGCAGGAUUGCCAAACUAAGGUAAUAUACUACCAUUUAACUAAAAGAGGAAGAGGAAAUGAAUAUCCCGUAUUUUAAGAUUUCAUCUUUUAGUAAUCUCUACACCCAACAAACGUGGGACUCGAAUUUACAACGUUGAGAUUAAGAAUUGUAUGCUCCACUGACUGAGCCAGGCAGGCGCCCCUACCUUAAAUAUUUUUUAAAAAUACAUAAGGGGUCCCUGGCUGGCUUAGUCAGUAGAGCGUGCAACUCAGGGUCAUGAGUUCGAGCCCCACCUUGGGCACAGAGAUUACUUAAAAAAAAGAAAGAAAGAAAGAAAAAAAAAGAAAGAAAAGAAAGAAAGAAAGAAAGAAAGAAAGAAAGAAAAAAAUUGAAGUAGAAAGAUAAAAACAAAGUUAAAAGAACAAAUUAAAAAACAAAAAAUGCUGAUUACCUCUGGGGGGAGGGAAUGGAGCAGAGAGAUAGAGACGGAGAUCAGACUUCUCUCUGAUUAUGGUUUAACGGUUUGACUUUGUUAGUUAUGCAACAAGAUUUAAUUUUUCAAAAAUAUUUUCAAAAGCAAGACCUACAAGUCAAAGGCAAAAAUGAAACAAAUGAACUUGGUUGUGUAAUGACCUUGUUCUAUUUUUAUAAAUUGCUACUGCUCUUGUUUUAUCUUUUUUUAAUGUUUAUUUAUUUUUUGAGAGAGAGAUACAGUGCGAGCAGGGGAGGGGCAGAGAGAGAGACACACACACACACAAUCCAAAGCAGGCUCCAGGCUCCGAGCUGUUGGCACAGAGCCUGAUGCGGGGCUCGAACUCACGAACUGUGAGAUCAUGACCUGAGCUGAAGUCAGCCGCUUAACCAACUGAGCCACCCAGGCACCCGCUACUGCUCUUUGAAUAAUAUGUAGAAAUAUGAGUAGCUUCCUUUGCUCUGAGGUAACCCAUGUUCUGAAGUUUUCUCCUGGAAUUUUCUAUACUGUCUCACAUAUCUAACUCUGGAGUUCCUUCCAGGUGACAAAUACCAUAACCUUGCUGGAGGGACAUACUUCCCAGCCUAUUUUCUCCUAGCCAGAGACAUCUCCUGUCCUUUGAGACAAAACUACUCCCAUCACAGCACUGACUUCCCUUCAGAAACAAGACACUGUGUUAUUCUCCUAAUAAUCCCCCUUCACUGCUGGAGCCGUGGUCCAUCCAGGGUAUGUCUGUCCCAGGACCGAGGGAUAAGGUAAUCAUACACCCAUGAGGGUCAUUCUUCUCCUCGAAAUUCGAGUUUCCUGGAUCACAGGAUUUGUAGUUGCAAGUAGCUAAGUUCGACUCUCACAGGUUGGGGGACCUCAAACAAAAUAAUUAACUUCUCUUCGCUUCAGUCCCCUCAUUUUUGAAACAGGGGAAAGGUAACACCAAUCUUUUGGGGUCGCUGUGAGAUUUGAAUAAGAUGUAAAAUUUCAGGCAUAAGCUUGGUGCUUCCCUCCUUUCUCCUCCCUCUGCUUCCCUUCUCUUAUUUCCCACCUUCUUUUUAUUCAGUCUUCUCUCCACAUCCUUCUUUCAUAAAAUGAACAAGACUAAGAGACUUUGAAGAUUCUUUUCAAACCCUGAGAUCAGAAACACUGACGGGGUGCAGUGCAUUUAGAUGGGGGCUUGGCUGUUGAGGAUUAGAAAUCCAAAAAUGCGCAUAGUAGAGAUGAGUUAGAGGCUGGUAGCGACUUCAUGCAGAAGUUUAAGAUCUAAUACAAGGGAAAGGGUUCCUGGGUGGAACUAUUUUAGGGUCUCAGUAAUAUUAGAAAUUCUGAAGAGUUAAGAGCGCCAAGGUGGCUCAGUCGGUUAAGUGUCUGACUUCAAUUCAAGUCAUGAACCUGUGGUUCGUGGGUUUGAGCCCCACAUGGGGCUCUGUGCUGACAGCUCAGAGCCUGGAGACUGCUUCUGAUUCUGUGUCUCCCUCUCUCUCUGCCCCUUCCCCACUCAUGCUCUGUCUCUCUCUGUCUCUCAAAAAUGAGUAAGUGUUAAAAAAUACUUAAAAAGAAAAGAAAUUCUGAAGAUUUGUCCAAAUGAGGGGAGGAAAUAGAGAAGUGAGUGAAGGAGGUAGGGAAAAAGAAAAAUUGGAAAGUAAGAAGGUUAAGAUAAAGUCAGAUCACACAAGUGUUGGUGAAGAUGUGGAGGAAUUGGGAUUCUCAUGCACUUCCAGCGGAAAUGUAAAAUGGUGCAGUAAUUUGAGAACAAUCCGGCGAUUUCUCAGUGAAACAUAGUGUUACCAUAUAACCCAGUUACACUGCUAGGUAUAUACCCCAGGGAACUGAAAACUUAGGUCUACACAAAAACUUGUACGUGAGUGUUCAUAGCAACAUCGUUCAUAAUACCCAAAAGGUGGAAACAACUCAAACCUCCUUCGACAGAUGAAUAGAUAAACAGAAUGUAGUAUAUUCAUACAAUGGAAUUUCACUUUCCCAAAGAAGACAUACAGAUGGCCAACAGGUACAUGAAAUGAUGCUCAACAUCAUUAAUCGUCAGGGGAGUGCAAAUCAAAACCAUGGUGAGAUACCACCCAUACCUGUUAGAAUGGCUAUAACGUGAAUGGCUAAAGACCAGAAAUAGUAAAUGUUGGCGGGGAUGUGGAGAAAAGGGAACCCUCGUGCCUCACUGGUGGGAAUGUAAAUUGGCUCAGCCACUCUGAAAACCACUAUGGAUUUUUCUCAAGAUAUUAAAAAUAGAACUACCAUAUGAUCCAGCAACUCCACAUUUGGGUAUUGGUCAGAAGAAAACGAAAACCCUAAUUCGAAAGGAUACGUGGACCUUCAUGUUCACUGCAGCAUUAGUUACCAUAGCUAGGAUAUGGAAACAACCUAAUUGUCCAUCGAUGGAUGAAUGGAUAAGGAAAUUGUGGUGUAUGCAAUGGAAUGUGGUAUAUACCAAGAAAUGUGACUUAGCCAUCAAAAAGAAUAAAUCCUGGGGCGCCUGGGUGGCUCAGUCGGUUGAGCGUCCGACUUCAGCUCGGGUCAUGAUCUCACAGUCUGUGAGUUCGAGCCCUGUGUCGGGCUCUGUGCUGCCAGCUCAGAGCCCGGAGCCUGUUUCAGAUUCUGUGUCUCCCGGAGCCUGUUUCAGAUUCUGUGUCUCCCUCUCUCUCUGCGCCUCCCCCGUUCAUGCUCUGUCUCUCUCUGUCUCAAAAAUAAAUGUUAAAAAAAAAAAAAAAAAAAGAAUAAAUCCUUGCCAUUUACUGCAACAUUGAUGGACUUUGAGGGCAUUAUGCUAAGUGAAAUAAGUCAGAGAGAGACAAAUACCAUGCUUCUCUUUUCUAUGUGGAGUCUCACACAACAUCAACAACAAGCCAAGCUCCUAGACACAGAGUACAGACUGCUGAUAGCUGCCAGAGGCAAGGGUGGAGAGUGGGAGAAAUGAGAGAAAGGGGUCAAAAGGUUAAAAAGAAGAAGAAAAGGGAAAAGAGAGAGAGAGAGAGAAAUUUGCCUUCCUGAUUAAAAAACAAAACUCCCAAAACAAAAAAUACCCUUCAAAGUGGGAUACACUGGUUAAGUCAAGUGUGGUCCAUCCGUAUGAUGAAAUGCCACCUAAUGGCAUUCAGAAGGAAGGAGGAAGAAAACAGAAUGAGGAAGCCUUUUUAUACUGACAACUAAAGUUUUCCAAGAUGUAAACAAAGUUAAUUAAUUAAAAAAAAAUAUGUAUAUAUAUAUGAUCUAUUGGGGUGAUAUAACUCUAAGAUGUUAAUGUAAUACGCAUAUAAGAUGUGGGGAAGUGUUAAAAUGAGAAAAUGUAGGAGAUCUCAAUAGGUAGAUAGAUAGAUAAUGUUCUUUUCAUUCACAUGUGAGAUAUUUACAGUGACCAUGUUCUGAGUCACAGCAGGAUUUAACAAGAUACCAAAGCAUACAGAACAAAAGAAAACAAGCCUAAAGCUAACAUCAUACUUAAUGGUGAAUAUAUUCUUCCGAAGGUAAGGAACAAGACAAAGAUGUCUACCCUCAUCGUGUCUCUUUCACAUUGUUCUGGAGGCAAUAAGGCAAGGAAGACUGGAAAGGAAGAAACACAACUGUCUCGUUCACAAAUGGGGUUGUAUGUGAAAAAUCCUAAGGAAUCUACAAAAAAGCUACUAGAUCUCUCUGCCCUUCCUCCACUCACGUUCUGUUUCUCUCUCUCUCUCCCCAAAAAUGAAUGAACGUUAAAAAAAAUUUUAAAAAGCCACUAGAACUAAUGAGUUCUAGUUGCAAGAUUCAGAGAAACAAUGGUAUUUCUAUACACUAGCAACAGACCAUUUCAAAUAAAAAGUUUUUGCAAUCAAAAAGAAUGAAAUCUUGCCAUUUGCAACAACGUGGAUGGAACUAGAGGGUAUUAUGCUAAGUGAGAUUAGUCAGAGAAAGACAAACAUCAUAUGACUUCACUCAUAUGUGGAAUUUAAGAUACGAAGCAGAUGAACAGAAGGGAAGGGAAGCAAAAAUAAUAUAAAAACAGGGAGGGGGACAAGACAUAAGAGACUCUUAGAUACAGAGAACAAACUGAAGGUUGCUGGAGGGGUUGUGGGUGGAGGGAUGGGCUAAAUGGGCAAGGGGCAUUAAAGAGGACACUUGCGAUGAGCACUGGGUGUUAUACAUAGGGGAUGAAUCACUGCGUUCUACUCCUGAAAUCGUUGCACUAUAUGCUAACUGACUUAGAUGUAAAAUAAAAAUAAAUAAAAAGCUUUUAAAAUGCCAUUUGAAGUAAUAUUUUUAAAAAAUACUUAUUUAUUUUGGGGAAAGCACAAGUGGGAGAGGGGAGAGAGAGGGGGACAGAGGAUCCAAAGCGGGCUCUGUGCUAACUGGCUGACGGCAGUGAGCCUGAUGUGGGGCUCGAACUCAUGAACCAUGAGAUCGUGACCUGAGCUGAAGUCCAACACUCAACAGACUAAGCCACCGUUGUGCCCCUGUAGUAACAUUAAAAUAAAUAUUAGGGGUAAAUCUAACAAACUGAAUGCAAAGACCGAAUAUUGAACAUUACAAAAUAUUUCCAAGAAAAAUUAUAGAAGACUUAAAUAAAUGGUUAGAUGUAUCGUGUUUAUGCAUAGAAACUCAUUAUUGUUAUGUCAAUUCUCCCCCAAAUCAUCUAUAGAUUUAACAUAGUCUUGGUCACGAUGUCAGUAGGUUGUUUGGGUUUGUUGUUUUUGUUUUUUUUUAAUAGAAAUUGAUGGGUUUAUUCUAAAAUUUGUGGAGAAAUAGAAUCUAGAUCAGCCAAAACAAACGUACGAAAGAAUAGGAAUGGAGAACUUUACCAGAUUUCAAGAUUUACUGUAAGGCUAUAGUAAUUAAGACAGCAUGGUGUUGAUGUAAAGAUAGGCAUAUGGAUGGGACAGAAUAGGGAGUCCAGAAAUAGACUUACAUAUAAUAAUGUCAAUUCAUUUUUUACAAAGAAGAAAAGGAUGGUCUUUUAAACAAUAUUGCUAGAGGAGCGACUGGGUGGUUCGGUUAGUAGAGCAUGGAACUCUUGAUCUUGGGGCUGUGAGUUUGAGCCCUAUGUUGGGUGUAGAGAUUACUUACAAAAAAUAAUAAUGUGGCUAGAAUAAUAGGAUAUCCUUGUGGAAAAACAUGAACUCAAUUCUUACCUCUCAUCAUAUGCCGUAAUUAAUUCAAAGUGGAUCAUAUGCCUCAAUGUAAAAGUUAAAAAUCAUAAAACUUUGCCUGGGUGGCGCAGUCGGUUAAGCGUCCGACUUCAGCCAGGUCACGAUCUCGCGGUCUGUGAGUUUGAGCCCCGUGUCAGGCUCUGGGCUGAUGGCUCAGAGCCUGGAGCCUCUUUCCGAUUCUGUGUCUCCCUCUCUCUCUGCCCCUCCCCCGUUCAUGCUCUGUCUCUCUCUGUCCCAAAAAUAAAUAAAAAACGUUGGAAAAAAAAACAACAACUUUGGGGCGCCUAGGUGGCUGAAUUGGUUAAGCAUCUGGCUCUUGAUUUCAGCUCAGGUCAUGACCUCACAGUGCGUGGGUUCGAGUCCCACAUCGGGCUCUGCACUAGGAGUGCAGAGGCCGCUUGGGAUUCUCUCUCCCUCUCUCUCUGCCCCUCCCCCGCUUGUGUGCUCUGUCCCUGUCUCUCUCAAAAUAAAUAAACUUUCAAAAAACUAUAAAACUUCUGAAAGAAAUGUAGGGGAAAACCUUUGUCAUUUUUGUUUAGGUAAAGAUUUCUUAGAACCCAAAAAGCAUGAACCGUAACAGAAAAACCUUAUAAAUUAGACUUUAUUAAAAAUAAAAACUUAGCAGGGUGCCUGGGUGGCUCAGUCGGUUAAGCAUCCGACUUCGGUUCAGGUCAUGAUCUCACAGUUCAUGAGUUUGAGCCCCGCAUCGGGCUGUGUGCUGACAGCUCAGAGCCUGGAGCCUGCUUCGGAUUCUGUGUCUUCCUCUCUCUCUGUCCCUCCCCUAUUCAUGCACGCACGCAUCUCUCUUUCUCUCUCUCUCUCUCUCCCUCUCUCUCUCAAAAAUAAACACAAAUAAAUAAGUAAAUAAAUAAAUAAAUAAAUAAAAACUAAAAACUUAGGCCCUUUGAAAGACAAUGUUCAGAAAACAUGAAGGUAAGACAGACUGGAAGAAAAUCUUUGCAAAACAUACACUGAAUGAAAUGCUUAUACCUAGGAUAGAUAAAGACCCCUUAACACCUCAAUAAUAACAAAACAGACAACCUGAUAACAAAAAGGGAAACAAAUGUGAACAAAUACUUCAUCAAAGAAGACAUGAUUAACACGUAGGCACUUGAAAGAUGCUUAACAUCAUCAGGAAAAUGUAGGGGUGCCUGGAUGGCUCAGUUGACUGAGCACUGGACUCUUGAUUUUGGCUUAGGUCAUGAUCCCAGGAUGGUGGGAUUGAGUCCUGCUCAUUAUGGAGCCUGCUUGAGGAUCUCUCUCUCCCUCUCUGUCUCUCCCUCUGGCCCUUUCUCCCACUUGAUCUCUCUCUCGCUCUCUGUCUCUCUCUCAAAAAAAAAAAAAAUUAAAAAAGAAAAGGAAAAUGUAAAAUAGUACCAUAAUUAGACACCAGUAUAUCCCACCAGGAUAGCUAAAACUAAAGCAAACAAAAAACAAAGCAAAGGCCUCACCAGGUAACGCCGAAUAUUGACGAGGAUGUGGGGCAACUACAGCUGAUGUCAACACAAAAUGAUGCAGCGACUCUGGAACACAGUUUGGCAAUUUCUUGUCAAGUUAAAUACACACCUACCACAAGACCAAGGAAUCUCUCUCAUAGGUGUUUACCCAAGAGAAAUGCCACCUGUAUUUCAGGAGAACCUAUACAGGAGAAGCGUAUCCUGUAUUAGUCUGCUCCAGUGGCCACAAAAUGCCAUAGACUGAGAGGCUUUACUUUUUGUUUUCUCACAGCUCUGGAGGCUGGGAGUCCAAGAUCAAGGUGUCGUCAGGAUUGACGUCCGGUGAGAGCCCUCCUCUGGGCUCGCACACGGCCACUUUCUCACCCUGUCCUCCCAUGGCCUCUGUUCCGUGCGUGCCAAACUAAUGCGUGUGACGUGUUCAUUUGUUUUUUCACUUUUCUGUUUCAUUUGAAAAAGCUGUAAUGAAUCUACAUACUUUUUAUCCAGUCAUAGAAUAAAACAAAUCCAAUCUAACAUCACUUCACUUUAUUUUAUCUGUUUACUUAUUUUAGAGAGAAUGUGUGUGUGAGCAGGGGAGAGGGGCAGAGAGAGAGAGAGAGAGAGAGAGAGAGAGAGAAUCUUAAGCAGGCUCCACACUUAGCUCAGAACCUGAUGCGGGGCUUGACCCCACGACCCUAGGAGCAUGACGUGAGCUGAAAUCAAGAGUCGGAUGCUCAACCUACUGAGCCACCCAGGUGCCCCCAUAACUUCACUUAAAAUAAGGGCAGUGGAUUUUUCUCAGUGUAUUUUUUUUUCAGCUUUACUGAGGCAUAAUUGAUAACAUCACCUUUUUAUUAUUCAUAUUGAUUCAUUUUUUUUGUUUGCUUGUUUCAGUUAGUACUUACGGAAGGUCAGCCAUGGUUUCAGGAACAUAGCGAUCAACACAGCAAAACCUCUACACUCUGGAGUCUUCCUUCUGGAGAGCAGAAGAGGGUAUUAAUGACUGCUGUGAACAGUAAUACCAAAUAAUAGUAAUUGAAGGAAAAUUUUAAUCUGUGAACAAUUCUUUUCAAUUAUCAAUAUCUCUUUUCAGUCAGUAUUUGCAGCCUCUGCCUCAUCAAAUAUUCUCUUCAGAAAAAUGGGGGACACAGCAGAAGAGUUGAGUCCCAGGCCUGGUUCUACAGACCUGAGCGAAUACGAAACCUUGCUGGGCCUCCCUCUGCUCAGUAAGUGGUGAUCACACGGCCUCCAAGCAGGCAGUGAGGCUCUUAGUAAAAUGGGAACAUUUUAUCAUUGUGUAAAUGUAAGGCUCUUUGUGUAAAUGUGUAGUAAUCUCUUUAGGCAAAUCUUUUUAUUGGAAGUGGACAUUCUCUUUCUUUUUUUUUUUUUUUUAAUCUCUCCACCCCCAGUCUUUGACUCAAGAUUUUAAAGAUUGCUAUUAAAAGACAAGUGUGUUAGCACAUUAAGAUACUAUCAGGUAGCAGAUAACUUUUAAAAAGUUAAUUACUCAAAUUUGUCCCAGUAGAUGGAACUGUGAUGCCUUGGGGCACCGUGAGGCUUUGCAUAAUGGGAAGAAGGGUUUCGGGAACACCCGGUCCUUGGCUCUUGGUGCUUACUACAAAAACAAAAGAAAACCAACAAAACCCUGUGCAGAAAGGACCCUCGAGACAAACGCUCUUUGCAGUCUCGCCUUGGGCUUGUAAUUCACCGUCUGGAGAACGGCACAGAAUAUGUGGAUGAGCAGGUGAAAAAUAUUUAUUUCUCAGCAAGUACUAACUGAUGAGCCAAACAGGAAAAGACGAACUCUGUUAGAACUUAAUCUGUCCUAAACAGGAGAGGCCCACAGUGAGGAAUGGAGCCCCGCAGUGGGAUAAAAAAUGAUCGGAGCUGGGGCGCCUGGGUGGCUCGGUCUGUUAAGCAUCUGACUUCCCCUGAGGUCAUGAUCUCCCGGUUUGUGCGUUUGAGCCCCUCUCUGGGCUCUGUGCUGACAGCUCCGACCCCUGCUUGGGAUUCUCUCUCUCUCUCUCUCUCUCUCUCUCUCUCUCAAAAUAGAGAAAUAAACUUUAAAAGAAAGAAAAGAAAUGAUGAGGGCUCAGGGGGAGAAUUCUAAGUGGCUGUGACGAUCCCGUGUUCAGACUGAAGUCAAACCCGAGGGAAGAGACAGGGGUGGGGAAUUUAAACAAGGAGGAAACUCAUAAAGCAACUGAUAAAGAGAACAUGAAGUAGGAGGAAACCUGGCGAUGCCUGAGCCUCGGACUCCCCGCUGGGCACGAAGCCUGCUCCUGGUGGUGUGGGGCAGUUCCUGAGAUGCACAGAAGGGGGCGCCAUUUCCGUAUUAUUCUUCCUGCUCCUACUCUCCGAGCCCCCACAUUGAAGCUCCUGGUGCUAGGAUGUAUUACUUAUACUUCAUUUUACAGUUUUAAAAAAAUGUUUAAUGUUUAUGUAUUUUUGAGAGAGAGAGAGAAAGAGAGCAGGGGAGGGGAGGGGCAGAGAGAGAGGGAGACACGGAAUCUGAAGCAGGCUCCAGACUCCGAGCUGUCAGCACAGAGCCCCACGCGGGACUCAAACUCACAAUCCGUGAGCUCAUGACCUGAGCCGAAGUCUGGUGCUUAACCGACUGAGCCACCAGGCGCCCCAUUUUAUAGUUUUUUAAAUAAAUAUGUACUUUUUAAAAUUCUUUUUAAUUUUUAAGUUAUCUCCACCCUCAACGAACACGUGACCUCAAGAUCAAGAGUCUCACGUUUUACCAACUGAGCCGGCCAGGGGCCCCUCAUUUUACAGUUUUGAAAGCAUAUUUUCAUUUUAUCCUUAUGACAACUAGGUGAUACCUGGGGGCAGGUCCUAUCAUCCCCAUUUUACAGACGGAAAACAGAGAGGCAGCCAGUUUAAGUGAUUUACUCAAUGUCAGACAAGCAGUCAGCAGAACUUUUUUUUUUUUUUCUUGACUCCUGACCCAGUGCUCUCUCCGCUCUGCUGUCUAGACUAAAGCAGGGUUAUCAGGUACACCUGAGGGACGGACAAAGACCCAAACACUCACAGAUAAAGGGAAAGAAGGUCUGCUGGCUCCUGUGGGUCCUUUCCACACAGCGAAUGGCCUUGCAGACGCUGCUGCUCUUAGGACGUUUGGAGGUCAAGUUGGGCCCACUUCUGUGUUUCAAGCCUAUAAUUAAACUUAGCUUUCUGUUGGGUCACUCUGUGGUCAGGGCCAUGAGUUGAGCUUGGCCAAGGGGAAGGAAGGGUGUAAGCAGAAGUGGGUUGCCCACCUGCCACUUUUCCGGCUCAGUACCUCUCUUCUGGUGGACGUGAAGGCACCCGAAGUAACCUCUCAGUGACUGCAAGUUGGGAAACCUCUAUAACGAUUGCUUUUUAAAAAAAAAACAACAAACGUUUUCUAGUGUUUAUUUUUAAGAGACAGAGAGAGAGAGGGAGACACAUAAGCCAAAGCAGGCUCCAGGCUCGGAGCUGUCAGCACAGAGCCUGACACGGGGCUCGAACUCACAGGACUGCGACAUCAUGACCUGAACUGACAUCCGACGCUUAACCGACUGAACCACCCAGGCGCCCCGGUGAUUGCUUUUAACAAAGGCUGAGAAGGCCUGGCGUAUUGUCAGAAACCUAAAGUACCUGGGCACCUUGCGCUGUGUCCUUUGAGCAGCCUAGUGUCGAGACAUCAUAGUCUCUGAGUAAGUGUUAAAAAAUUGGCCAGAAAGUGUUUUCCUGUAUCAGUGGAUUAAUUAGCAGUUGCUGCAAUAAUGCUCUGUAACGACAGCAUUCGUAUCUCAUUUAUUUUGUUGCUCACAAGCCUGUGGGUUGGGUGCCCUCCCCUCCCCCAACAGAGGCUGCGCGUCCAGCCCGGGGUCUGCUCUCUGGUGUUCAUCAUUCCAGAACCGGUGGCCAACAAGGUCGUGGCUGGUGAAUUGCACACGCAUAAAAGAGCAAGCCAGAUCUCCCCGGCAUAUUUAGAGCCUCUGCUUGUGUCACAGUGUCACUAACACUGCACGGGUCAGAGCGAGUCACGGAUGCCGAACCGGAGAAGGAACGUACUCUGUGCUAGCAGGAGGUGCCGCAAAGUCGUUUAGCCAAGGACACGGAUGUUUGAUUCUAAAACAGAGACCGAAGCAUUGGGAGCAAUGACCCAAUGUACCACAACCAGUUAGGAAUCUGGCCAUAAAUAAUAGCUAACAUCAACUGAGUCUUAAACGUGUGAGGCACUUUUGUUAAGCACCUUGUACGUGUCAAUUCAUUUAAUUAUCACAACAACCCUAUGAGGUAGAUACUAUUAGGGUCUGUAUCUUAUAGAGGAAACACAGCCAAGGCACGGUGGGGUUAAGGAAGAAUUCAGAUCACACGGCAAGGGGUAGAGCAGGGCAGUGACAAUUACACCAGAAAGGAACGCUGUUCACGGCCUCUCUCCCUGUCGUGCCUCUUCUAGUCUUCUCCGGCCCUCCCCAACCCCGUCCCUCUCUCUGUGUGUGCUUUGUCUUUGGAAAUGACGCCAUCUGGCCUCCCAGUCCAGAACCCUUAGCGUCAUCCUUGGGCCCUCUCAGCCCCUCCCGUGUCUGCUCCCUCCUCUCGGCCCUGGGCUACCGUCUCCUCAGAGGCCUACCUACCACUUCUUCCCCAAGGCAUCCCUCUCUUUAGUCCUGCACCCUCGAGGCAUUGCUGCCAGAGGUAUUUGCCUAUAAUGCAGAUCUGAUCCCGUCAUUCUCCUGCUUAGAAAGUUUCCACACUCCCCAGAGCUUUUAGGACAAAGUUAGCUUUCCGUAUUCCGGGUCCUUCCUUUCUGACCUCCCCCCACACUUUUCUCCAGCAUCCCACACAACCUGUGUGCACUUUUCGUGCCCUCUUGCCUUUGUGGAUGGUGCUACACCCUCCGUCUGGAUCCUCUGCUCCCCUCUCCGUCUUGUCAACUUCUAUUUGUCUGGAGGCCUACCUUCCGGGAAGCCUUCUCCACUCUAUUCUCCAGUCUGGUUAGAUAUCCCUUCUCUGUGUCCCCAGCAGACUCUGUCUACACGUUGUGGCAUUUGCCAGAUUACAUCGCUAUCUGCUUCUCUAGCAUUACUUUUGCUCAACAUGUGAUUUGUGGACUCCCUGUUUCAGAAUCACCUGGGAAGCUUGUUUAAAACGUAGGCUCCUGGGGUCUAGCUUAGACCCACCAAUUCAGAAUUGUUGCAGGGCAAAGCCUAAGGGUCUUCAUUUAUUUAUUUUUUUUUAAUUUAACAUUUACUCAUUUUUUUUUUUUUUGAGAGACAGAGAGCACAAGCAGGGGAGGGGCAGAGAGAGGGGGAGACACAGAAUCCGAAGCAGGCUCCACGCUCUGAGCUGUCAGCACAGAGCCUGACGCGGGGCUGGAACUCACUGACCGCGAGAUCAUGACUCGAGCCGAAGUCGGACGCACAACCGACUGAGCCGCCCAGGCACCCCCUAAGGGUCUUUAUUUAAAAAAUUCCCCAAGAUGCCUGGGUGGCUCAGUCGGUUAAGCGUCUGACUUUGGCUCAGGUCAUGAUCUCAUGAGUUCGUGAGUUCAAGCCCCACGUCGGGCUCUGUGCUGACAGCUUGGAGCCUGCUUCGGAUUCUGUGCCUCCCUCUCUCUCUGCCCCUCUCCUGCUUGCACUCUGUCUCUCUCUCAAAGAUAAGUAAACGUUAAAAACUUUUUAAAAAUAAAUAAAAAAUUCCCCAAGAUGAUUUUUCACCUGUGCCAAGUGUAACCACCACACUAGACAGGCGAGUGCCAUGCUUUCUUGUACCUCUAUCAUCUAGCAUUGUGCGUGGCUCAAAGUAAGCACCCAGUGAAUGUGUUCUGAAUGAAUGAGUGAAAUGAGCUGUUCAGGUUUGGAGGCAACCCGAGGUGGAAGCUGAAAUCUCAGCUGCUGCGAUUCCAGACGCCAGCAGAUGGCACUGUGUCUACAUAAAUGCUUUCGCAUUGCGUUGGGGGAGGAAGCCGGGAAGUUCUGUUUUACUGGAAAUCGAGCCUCAAAUGCUGCGUAAUUGAAUUUAUUAUUAUUAUUUCCUGCUCACUUUGCCUACUAUUGUCCCACUUGCAUGAAUAAAUUGAUUUCUGGAGGGAUGAAGACUUGGACAAGGAAAGGGGAAAGAGGCUGGUCACACAGGAGAUCUGAGUGGGCAAUGAAGAUGGGAAGGAUAUACGUAAUUACCCUCAUUUCCAGACUCCGUGAUGGAAAGCCGCUCCUAGCGAGAGCACUGAGUGUUGUGAAAUUACCCAGAGCGUUCAAAAGAAUAUGCCAUUUCAGCGAGAGGGUGGAGCCAUCCUGUAAUUUCUGUUAGUCAUCUGCUGUUUUCUUUAUGGACUGUCAGAUGCCUGUAUGAUUACCCUUUUAAAAUCAUUUCCCUCACAGUCCGAAGUCUGAAAGCCUGAGUCUUCCUCCUGGGCUGAGUACUUUACUCUCCUAAAGGCCAGGGGCCCCAUAGACCUUUCCUCCCCCUUCCAGCCUCCCUCUCACCCCCCAGGGGCAUCCAUGUGCAAAAAACUGAUAGAGCUGGCAUGGGGCUCGGGGAGGCUAUCGGGCAAGGCCAGAGAUAGGGGCUGAGCUGUUUUCCUCCGAAGGGAACGAGGGGUGGGGUUCGCUGCCUUCCCAGCUCUUGGCAGAGAGGAGAGAGUGCACACAGGAGCAUAGUCUCGAUCUUAUUGGGAAGGCACAGUUUAAAGGCAUCACACAAAUUAAGGACAAUGAGUAGAAAUAACUACCAAGUUCUGAAUGAUCCAGUAUAAACUAGACGGAAGUGCUUCAAAGGAAUGAGAGAAAAUACAUUUCUCCUUUUCCUUUUUUUUUUUUUUUGGAAUUUUUUAUUUUAUUUUAUUUUAUUUUUUAAUUUACAUCCAAGUUAGUUAGCAUAUGGUGCAACAACGAUUUCAGGAGUAGACUCCUUAAUGCCCCUUAUCAUUUAGACCACGCCCCCCCCCACAACCCCGCAGCAACCCUCUGUUUCUUCUCUGUAUUUAAGAAUCUCUUAUAUGUUUUGUCUCCCUCCCUGUUUUUAUAUUAUUUUUCUUCCCUUCCCUUAUGUUCAUCUGUUAUCCUAAAGUCCUUGUAUGAAUGAAGUCAUACGAUAUUUGUCUUUCUCUGACUGACUAAUUUCGCUUAACAUAAUACCCUCUAAUUCCAUCCACAUAGUUGCAAAUGGCAAGAUUUCAUUCUUUUUGAUUGCCGCAUACUACUCUAUUGUAUAUAUAUAUAUAUAUAUAUAUCACAUCUUCUUUAUCCAUUCAUCCAUCAAUGGACAUUUGGGCUCUUUCCAUACUUUGGCUAUUGUUGAUAGUGCUGCUAUAAACAUGGGGGUGCAUGUGUCCUUUCAAAACAGCUUACCUGUAUCCCUUGGAUAAAUACCUAGUAGUGCAAUUGCUGAGUUGUAGGGUAGUUCUAUUUUUAAUUUUUUGAGGAACCUCCAUAUUGUUUUCCAGAGAGGCUGCACCAGCUUGCAUUCCCACCAACAAUGCAAAAGAGAUCCUCUCUCUCCGCAUCCUCACCAACAUCUGUUGUUGCCUGAGUUGUUAAUGUUAACCAUUCUGACAGGGGUGAGGGGUAUCUCAUUGUGGUUUUGAUUUGUAUUUCCCUGAUGAUGAGUGAUGUUGAGCAUUUUUUCAUGUGUCAGUUGGCCAUCUAAAUGUCUUCUUUGGAGAAGUGUCUAUUCAUGUCUUUUGCCCAUUUCUUCACUGGAUUAUUUGUUUUUGGGUGUUGAGUUUGAGAAGCUGUUUAUAGAUUUUGGAUACUAACCCUUUAUCUGAUAUGUCGUUUGCAAAUAUCUUCUCCCAUUCUGUCGAUUGCCUUUUAGUUUUGCUGAUUGUUUCCUUCACUGGGCAGAAGCUUUUUAUUUUGAUGAGGUCCCAAUAGUUCAUUUUUGCUUUUGUUUCCCUUGCCUCCAGAGACAUGGUGAGUAAGAAGUUGCUGCGGCCAAGGUCAAAGAGGUUGUUGCCUGCUUUCUCCUCAAGGAUUUUGAUGGCUUCCUGUCUUACAUUUAAGUCUUUCAUCCGUUUUGAGUUUAUUUUUGUGUAUGGUGUAAGAAAGUGGUCCAGGUUCCUUCUACAUGUCGCUGUCCAGUUUUCCCAGCACCACUUGCUGAAGAGACUGUCUUUAUUUUAUUGGAUAAUCUUUACUGUUUUGUCGAAGAUUAGUUGGCCAUAUGUGUGUGGGUCUGUUUCUGGGUUCUCUAUUCUGUUCCAUUGAUCUGAGUGUCUGUUUUUGUGCCAGUACCAUACUGUCUUGAUGAUUACAGCUUUGUAAUACAGCUUGAAGUCCAGGAUUGUGAUGCCUCCUGCUUUGGUUUUCUUUUUCAAAAUUGCUUUCGCUAUUCAGGGUGUUUUCUGGUUCCAUAUAAAUUUUAGGACUGUUCUAGCUCUGUGAAGAAUGCUGGUGUUAUUUUGAUAAGGAUUGCAUUGAAUAUGUAGAUUGCUUUGGGUAGUAUUGACAUUUUACCAAUAUUUGUUCUUCCUAUCCAGGAGCAUGUAAUAUUUUUCCUUUAUUUUUUUAUUUUUUUAUUUCUUGAAUAGUCAAGUUCAAAGUUCAAACGUCAUAAAGCGGGAGGUCAGUCAAGGUUAGGACUUCAUGGCCUGGUCCUGGUCACGUGGUCAGGAGGCAUGGGCAUCCUUCUGGGUCACCCAUAUGGAUUUGAUAGUCCUCACGAUGAGGGGUCUGCCCACAUUUGCAUCUAGAUGGAGUCAGUGGCCAGGAGGCUUGGGAGCACCAAGCAGGAGUACGUGGGUGGCAAAUGUUCCUGUCUUCGAGACAAAGCCUGGGCAGAAGGACUGCUCUGGGCAAGAGGGAGCUGUGCCCUGAAAACAGAUGUCUGCCCCACCUGCAGGCAGCACCUGUGGUCUCCAGGUAGACCGAGCGCUGGGCCUCGGAAAACACAGUGUGCACGUUCUGGGAAGCUGAAAUGAUAAGGCCGGAAGCCCUAGCAGGCAUAUCUCUCUCCGGGAAGUUAAGGGCCUCACCCUGGUGGCCGAGGUCAGAGUAGCCAGCUAGGAGCAGGUUCCACAGGCCACACAGUACAUGUUACUGCCCGGGGACACAGAUCUGGUUCAGCUUGUCCAGGGAGGGCUGCUUGGAAGCGGGCAGGGAGCCGUCAGCCAGAGGCCCUACACCCAGGGGACAGGCCCUGCCUCACAGUGCUGGACUAGAAGGAUGCCAGGACUCAGUGUCAGGAUGGUCGUGACCAGUGGAAGGCCGAUUCUGCCUCUCUCUGCUUGUAGCAGGUAGCGUGCAUCCUCCAGAUCAGAGAGAAGCAGAUCAAGGUUCUGCUGAUUGACAGGAACUUGGGGGCGGGUAAUACUUCCUCUUAGAAGGGAUCCCAGUCUUGGAAGGAUGGGAGGGAGGAGUUCCCCUUCUUUCUAUUCUGCAGAGAGUCUAAAGAAGGUGCCAUAAGGGGGCGCCUGGGUGGCUGUCGGUUUAGCAUCCAACUCUUGAUCUCAUGGUGGUGAGGUCGAGCCCCACAUUGGGCCCUGCGCUGAGCACAGAGCCUUUUGGGAUUUUCUCUUUCAAUCUCUCUCUCUCUGCCCCUCCCCCACAUGCAUGUGUUCUCUGCCACUCUCUUAAAAAGAAAGGGGGUACAGGGAGCCGGGGUGGCCCAGUCAGUUGAGCGUCUGACUCUUGAUUUUGGCUCAGGUCAUGAGCUCACAUUUUGUGAGUUUGAGCCCUGCAUCGGGCUCUGCACUGACAGUGUGCAGCCUGCUUGGGAUUCUCUCUCUCCUUCUCUCUCUCUCUCUCUCUCUCUCUCUGCCCCUCCCCCCCAAAAUAAAUAAAAAUAAUUUAAAAAGAAAGAGGGUGCCCCUGCCAGAUGGGGGGUUUCAGAAGAAAACCCCUUCUCUCUGCUCCUCCUGCUCACAGCAGGGAUGGAUUAGGAGCAGGCACUGCUGGGGAAGAGGUGUGGCCAGGUUCUUUCUCCCCUGCAGGCCAGAGAAGAUAACUCAACAGGCCAAAGUCAAAGCCAUUCUGGUCUGGAUCCCCAGCUAGGAGGAGGAUUGUUCAGCCACUGGUUGUCCAAAGGAUUGGGUCCUCCCUGGGAGAACUGGGUUUAAAGGGAGGGUCUCGGGAGCCUGCUCCCUCGUGCAUGUUUCUGUAGCGCUUCUGGGGCUGGUUUCUCUUCCUUCUUAGAUGAUUGGUUUAGAUCCAGUAUGGAACUGUUGCUUGCAGUUCCCAGAUCUGCUUUGGCCUCAUAUUCCUCAUCUCAGAACUGUCACUACCACGUACCCAAUUGUUUAAACCAGAAAACUGGGGGCAUCCGGGUGGCUCAGUUGCUCGAGUAUCUGACUCUGGAUUUCGGCUCAGGUCGUGAUCUCACGGUUUGUGGGAUCGAGCCCUGUGUCAGGCUCUGCACUGACAGUGUGGAGCCAGCUUGGGAUUCUCUCUACCUCUCUCUCGCUCUGCCCUGCUCUUUCUCUCAAAAUAAAUAUUAAAAACAUUAUUAAUAUUAAAACAAUUAAUAUUAUAUUAAUAUUAAAUUAAUAUAUCACUAUAAAUUAAUAUUAAUAUUUAAAAAUAUUUUUAAAAUAUUAAAAACAAAUAAGCCAGAAAGCCGGACGUGACCUUUGACUCAGCCCUUCCCCUACCCCUUUGUGUCAUCUCUCUUCACUGCCACCACCUUAAUCCAAACCAUCAUCAUCAGCUGCCCAAUGGCAGCGGCAUCUUUAUCGAUCUCCCCGCUUCCUCUCUCACCACCCACCCCCUGCCAAUCUACACAUCGCCUAGCCACCAGUGACCGCUCACCCCCCGUGGUUCUCGGGCCCAGCACCCUGGUCGUUUCCUUCAGGCACUUGGCACAAGUUACACAGUUAUUUUGUUGUUCAUUUUGUUGUCUGUCCCCUCGACUAGACUGUGGCACCAUGGGGCAGGGAAGCUUGUCUGUUCAGUGCGUCAUUGUAUCCUUCCUGCCAACACAGUGCUUUGCACAGAGUAGAUAAUAGCUAUUAGAUGGAUGUCAUGAGGCCAAAGAAUUUAGAUUUGCAAGGAGGAGUUUCACACAUUUUAGAAAAAGGACUGAUAAAACGUAAAUACGUGUUAGAGCUUCAGAGGGAAUGAUGGAGGCAGCUGGAUGGACAUUAAUGCAUCCUCCUUACUCACAGCUUCCCAGUUGAUGGGGCCUACGGUAAUGUCGCAAAAUACAAGAGGAAGGGAUGGAAUCCUAGAGAGAGUUUAAAGGAGCAAUUAGUAUCUUCCCGCGUAAGUUGGGAAGGAGAGAGGCAUUGAUGUUGUAGGUCUCGUGAGCCAGAAAAGCAGUGCUACUUCAUUUCUUUGAAAAAAUAAUAGCAUCACUUGGGAAAACCUCAGAUUUGAGUGGAAAAUGAGCUCAGUUUUUAGCCAUGUUGAGUUUGAAAUGACUAAAUAUUUCCCGGGGGGCCACUGAGAACAGCUAAACUUCUUUGACAAUUUGGUCGUCCAUGAAAUAGUCAUAAGUUUUAUUACUCCAAAAAAAAAGAGAGUGAAAGCCUCAAAAUUCUAAACCCGGUUACAUGUUAAGGAUACACCCAGAUCGUUUGGAACUACAAUUUUGUUGCAUCAAACCAUGACCAUUAAUAGCCAUGCCGUUAUCUAUUGAAUAUGCAAUGAUUUUAUUGUAUGAGUACCUGUCAUAACUAAUUAAUUGCAACUCAUGUAUAUUUUUCCGUGUUUUUCAAAUUUUUUAUGACAGCAUGUGGUAUUUUUUUUUUAGCUUCUAUUUUUAUAAAUCGGGGAAAAAAUGGGAUACUUUUUAAAACAAAAAUAGAAAAACUCACUGUGUCAAUUUCUGAAUGAAUAGCUUUGGGGUAAGCACUUGCCUUUACACACCAAACAUAUGUAAGCACAGAAGUUACUAAAUGUUCCCAGAAAUCACUGGAAAUUUCCCUCCAAGAAGUACACACAUGUUGAUGUUUCUUGGAAUUCUCUGCAGCUGGUUUCCCUUCUCUGGUUUCAGACUGCUUAGUCUCAAAAAUCACUGGGCUGGAAUUAUACAGUAACCCUAUUGUUCCAAUAAUUCUCCCUGAUGGCAAAAUUCAGGGAUUUGUCCCCUUUUGGCUAUUAGAGUCCCAGACCUAACUAUUAGCUAUUCUUCUCGAUGUGGUUUUGAUCUCUUAGAGGAUUUUCACAUCAAAAGUGUCAUUCAGGGUUUUGUUUUACUGUGGUAAGCUUCCAUUUGAGCCGCAAGCAGCGUGGGGGAAAAAGCAGAGGUGGGUGGGGCGGGAAGGGUAGGGAGAGAGGAGUGGAGAAUAUUCCAUGCUGAAUUCAUAGUCCUCUUGGUUGUUAGACUGAAGAAUGGCCCAGAGGUAGGUGACUGGGAAAGAGUCGUCUGGAAAUAAUGACACUGAGGAUUAAUGCAAAAACCUGGGAAUAUUUCACAACGAGAAGAAGGUAGUACAUUGGGACUUUGUAGCAAGAGGGAUUAAAUGUAAUCAUAGAAGUAAUGCAUCACAGUAAGAGGAAGAAUGAUAUCGACCGAUAUUUAAGGAACUUUUAAGUAAUUAAAGUUGUCAAGAAAUGGAGCACACUGCUUCAUGUGACAUAAGCUGUAUGCCCAUGGAAAUUUCCAAGAAGAUUCUGGAAGACCGUCCUCCGGGAAUGGUACAGGAAGGCUGUGUGUUGGACAGAGCAUUGGACUUUAUUUCUCACUCAGGCUGCAUGUCGGUGGUGGAUUGACUACUGAAUCCUAUUUGUCCUCACUCUAAAACCCAGGCUAAUGGAGCACCUACUAACUGGAAAAAUGCCGGUCGCCGUGGAAAAGGGAAAGAGGAGCUUCAGUUUGAAAGUGACACCUGUAAUGAUUUCUACUCACAUUUCACUGGCCAGAGCAAAAUGCUUGAUCACACCUAAAAUCAGGUGGGCAGUGAAAUGCACGUGCCUUAUGUUAGUCGGCAAACAGAAACGGUUUAUAAUGUAAAUGGCAUAUAGCUUACAGGUUUUAAAAACUCAGAUGUGAAUAGGAUUUUUGAAAUCUUUCCUUGGGCUUGACAACAGCUUGUUCUUUGUGUUCUUAAAUAGUUUCACCGUUAUUUCAGUUAGGACCCUCUCAGUGGUUAUGUCUAGGAAAAGGCAAACUUCUGAAGCAGAAACUAACAGGAAUCCAUGUAUAAGGGACAGGGUUAGUUUUCCGAUGCAGAGCUGUGCAAUGGUACUGCUAGGAUUAUUGCUCUUAGACUCUUCUUCAUGUUUUGUGAGAAAAAGCAAUUAAUUAUGUUGGAGAUGUGGGAAAGCAAGGUUUUUUUUUGCCACGGGAUCAGAAAGAUACAAAUGUGAGAACAAUGCAGUUAACUUAAUUUCACUUGAACCCUGAUUUUGAAUUGGAAGUACCAGUAUGAACUCAGUAUAUCUUAUCUUAAAAAAGAAAAAAAGUAUUUUCUAGUUCUGUCUACUGAGAAAGGCUAGAAAUAAAAACAAUAGGUAAGAGUGCCCAGGUUAUGGCCUCUAAUAACCACUUCCCUCUAAAAGAAAUCAAGCUUCUUGGAAAAAUGGCUGAUUCCAGAUUAGGCACAGGAAAUAUACGGGUUGAGCCGGGAACAUCGUGUCAUCCAAAAAGAAAGAAAUUUAUUUUUUUUAAUCAAAAAAAUUUUUUUAACAUUUAUUUAUUUUUGAGAGACAGAGCAUGAGCGAGGGAGGGGCAGACAGAGAGGGAGACACAGAAUCCGAAGCAGGCUCCAGGCUCCAAGCUGUCAGCACAGAGCCCAACGCAGGGCACGAACCCACGAACUGUGAGACCAUGACCUGAGCCGAAGUCGGACGCUUAACCGACUAGCCACUCAGGCUCCCCGAAAGCAAGAAAUUUAUGAAGGGAAUACUUGAGCCGUGCAAAAAGGCUCAGCGACCAAGUUGAAUGGUCUCUUCCUGGAGAGAGGGGAUACCUUGAACAGUUUUAAGAAUACAAAGUGAGGUGGAUUGAAACACAUCGAAUGUGCUUGAAUUCAUGAGCUCAUAUCCUUGCAAAUCCCCAAUGGACACUUUUGCAGAACUUGUUAUUCUGAAAACUGGCAGAUAAAGGAAAAGGAACAGAGAUCUUCUCUUUCCUCUAUGACUGCACCUCGGGUAACCAAAUAGUCGAUAACAGAAAGCUUCUCUUUAUGGAAGUUUUCCAGUUAAUGAAGAAGAAAUCAUCGAAUAAGAACAUGAUUGUUUUGCUGCCCCUAAUGAAUGAAUGGCAGUAGGCAAUGAUUAUCAGUAGCGGCCAGCAUGCAAGAAACAGACUUCUAGACAUUUAUGCCUCAUGACAGAAGUGCACAUCCUACGUAUGAAGUAUACCUCCUGCAAAACAAACGAGAAACGGAAACUGAAUCUUGGGAAUUCUCUAGGUCAGUGACUCUCAAUGCUGCCUUCUAGGAAACAUUUGGCAUUGUCUGGAGAUAUUUUUGGUUGUCACAAUUGGGAGAGAGUGUGCUACUAACAUCUGAUGGUUAGAGGCUCGGGGUGCUGCUUAACCUUCUGUAUGGGACAAUCACCGCCCCCCCCCCACCGCCUCCAAUGAAGAAUCAUUUGGCCCAAAAUGUCAAUAGUGCCCAGCUUGAGAAAUCUGCUUUAGAUCAAAUAAUCAAUUAAUAUAUAUACAGUGACAGAAGAGCAUGUUAAGUGACGUCUUAGGGAUGCAAUCAACAAAAUCAGAUAUGGGAAACUCUAUAAGAGAAUCACAGUACCAUAAAACCUCAGAUUGCGAGUAACUUGUUCUGUGAGUGUUCCACAAGACCAGCAAACAUUUCUUCUUUUUAAAAAAAAUGUUUAAUGUUUAUUUAUUUUUGAGGAGGGGAGGGGUAGAGAGAGGAGGAGACACAGAAUCUGAAGCAGGCUUCAGGCUCUGAGCUGUCAGCACAGAGCCCAAGGCAGGGCUCGAACCCAUGAAACCGUGAGAUCACGACCUGAGCUGAAGUCAGACACUUAACUGAAUGAGCCACCCAGGCGCCCCUUGACUAGCAAACAUUUCUAAUGAACUUUAACUUGAUCAACGAAUGAUGUCUUGCAAUAUGAGUCAUACGUGACGCCCAAUGUCACAUGAUCACAACUGAGCCAAUGGUUCUUGAAAUUCGCCUUGAUAUACAAGUGCUUUGGAUUACAAGCAUGUUUCUGGAAUGAAUUAUGCUCGCAAGCCAAGGUUUUAUUAUAGUUUCUUUAGCAAAUAAAAGGGUAUUUAUCUUUUAGAGAUACAUAUGGAGAUAUUUACAGAUGAAACAUUAUGAUGUCUGGGAUUUCCUUCAAAAUAAUUUUCAAUGGAUAUGGGUAACUGGAUGUGGGUCUAGAUGAAAUAAGAUUGGCCAUAAGUUAGUAGUUGUUGAACUGGAUAGAAAAGUAUAUGAGGGUCACUCUCUGGUAUAUUAGGAUUGUACACAAUAAAAAGUUAAAAGAUUUUAAUGAUUUAUUAUAUAAAGUGAUGGUGAUAACAAAUGGUAGUUUUUUAAAAAGUGUUAUUUACUUUAAAAUUAAAGGUAGCAUCAUUUUUAAAAAUGUUUUAUUUAUUUAAGUAAUCUCUAUACCUAAUGUAGAGCUCAAACUCACAACCCUGAGAUCAAGAGUCUCAUGUUCUUCCGACUGAGCCAGCCAGGAGCCCCAAGGGUAGCAUCUUUUUUUAAUCGGUGUAUUCGUUAUCUAUUGCUGCAUAACAAAUUGUUCCAAAGCUUAGCAGCUUCAAACAGUAUUAUCUCAUCGGUUUCUGAGUUAACAGGAAUCUGAGAGCCUCUUAGCCAGAUGGUUCUGUCUCAGCAUCUUUUACAAUCAAGAGAGUGGCUGGGGCUGCAGUCACCUGGAUGGUCCCCUUUCAAGAUGGCUCCCUCACAUGGCUGUUGUGUGAUGGCCUCAGUGCCCUGUUACAUGGCCUCUCUGUAGUGCUGCGGAGUGUCCUAAUGACAUGGCAGCUAGAUUCUCUCACAGCAAGCAAUCCAAGAAAAAGAAUAAGCAAGAGGCUGCAGUGCCUCUUGUGACCUAGUCUUAGAAGUCACACUGUCACUUCUGCCAUAUUUUAUUCAUUAGAAGUGAGUCAGUAAGCCCAACCCAUACUCAAGGGAAGGGAAACUCGGAUCCACCCAUCGAAGGCAGUUAUGAAAAAUUGGUGGACACAUUCUAAACCACCACAAUUGACCUCUCUCUCUCUCUCUCUCUCUCUCUCUCUCUCUCUCAAUGGUCUAUAAGAUCCUAAAGUGACAGAAACACUAGUCUCUAAUAAACCUAUGCUAACAUAAAAAAGAUAUAUCAACUGCAAUAUAUUGAGGGAUUACACCUACAUUUUACGAGGUUAAGAUACCUCAUUACUUGUUAUUAAAAGGGUCGAUCUAAAUGGAACCCUAAUAGUAUAUAACAUCAAAUAUUAUUAAAUUUUUUUAAUGUUUGAUUUAUUUUUGUGAGAGAGAGAGAGAGAGAGAGAGAGAAUGAGCAGGGGAGAGGCAGAGGGAGAGGGGGAGACACAGAAUCUGAAGCAGGCUCCAGGCUCUGAGCUGUCAGCACAGAGCCUGAUGUGGGGCUUGAACCCACAAAGCAUGGGAUCAUGACCUGGGCCCAAGUCAGACGCCUAACCAACUGAGCCAUCCAGGUGCCUCAUCUAACAUUAAAUUAUUUUUAAAGGUGGAAUGAUAUAUUGAAACAAUUUGAAAGAAACAAAGAAGGAUGAAGAUUUUCAGUUAAAGCGUGCCUGGAUGGCUCAGUUGGUUAAGUGUCUGACUCUUGGUUUCAGGUUAGGUCAUGAUCUCACAGUUUUUGUGAGUUCGAGCCCCUCAUUAGGCUCUGUGCUGACAAUGCAGAGCCUGCUUGGAUUCUCUCUCUCCCACUCUCUCUGCACCGUCCUCUCCCCGCUUGCACUGUCUCCGUCUCUCUCAAAAUAAAUAAAUUAAUUAAAAAAAAAAGAUUUUCAGUUAAGCAAGUACUGAAGUGUAGGAUAAAUUCUGAAGGGUAAGUUCGUUCGUGCUCUCUCAAAUUUCUCUCUGGAAUUAAAGGAGAGCGAAUGUACAGGGUCGUUCCAAGCACAUGAACAAAAACCAACUCUUAGCUUCUCAUCAUCCAAAUAUCCCCAGGCUCAUCAUAAUCAGAAACAUUCACAGCGGGCUGGAUGUAAUCCAUUGUCUCCUUCAUAGGCAACCGUAUCUUGUGCAAACUGCAUGAUGUGAGCUACACAAAGACCCUGCUUCCUCUCCGCCUCUCAGGCAUUCACCCUCAUCCUGUAAAGGCUCUCAGAUGUGCCGUAGCCUCCCUUUUGUAGGUCUUUUCCCUCCAUCAAGUUAGAGAAUCCCAUAAAGGGUAGCUCCUGGACCCCAUGCAGCAUAAUCGCCUGAGGUGUGCAUCUGGAGACACAUUUCUAGAGCCAGCCCCACACCCACCAAAUCAGAAAAUCUUCGAUUGUGGCCCGGACACAUGCAUCUUUAAUAAUAUCCCCCAGGGAAGCUCAAGAACCACUGAACUGGGCUGUGAACAUCCUGAGAACAGGGGCUGAGUCUUACUCACCUGUGCAUUCUUAGUCUCUCCCCUCUACCCUUGUACCUUCCCCAGGCAUAGGCAACCCUAGGACCCUGCCAGGCGUUAGACAAAUGUGUGUGGGAUUGAACUGAUUUGGAAAAAGUUCCAUAUAGUAUAAAGUUCUGACUGCGCUAAUUCACGAAGAGAUUCUAUGUUGAUGAGACCCUUUGACCGAUAGGUUUGGUGAGGCGAUCAUGUACUGUUUUUGCCGGCCUGGCAUCUGUCAUCUCUUGCGAUAAUAGCACUUCGGUUUCCCUUACGGGAGCCAGGCUCCGUCUCUCAGGCUCCAUUCCUGUAGUCCGAGAGGCACCGACAAGACUUUCUCUACAAAGGAGGUGAGCCUGUGUCCCAGCUUUGGCCAAUCAGAACAUAUAUUCCUCCAGACUACUGUGAUUGGUUCAGACACGGGUGUGUGACUCAGUGAGAGCUCUGCUCCAGAUUUGCUGGUGCCAUUAGGAGAGACGUGGCUUCCUUGCACUGGGUUUGCUAAGCUGGUGUAACAGAAGUCUAGACUUUCUAAUGACCAUCUUUGCCUCCGCCUAAUCUACUUUUGGUCUCUACAGAUUUGCCUGUUUGGACACUUCAUGUAAAUGGAACCACACAACAGGUGGAUUUUUCUUUUUUUAAUAGAUGGCUUCUUUCACUUAGUAUGAUGUUUUCAAGGCUCAUCUAUGGUGUAGCACAUAUAGUGCUUCGUUCCUUUUUAUUACCAACUAAUAUUGCAGUGUAUGGAUAUACUCUAUUUUGUUUGUCCAUUUAUCAGUCAGGGGACAUUUGGGUGCCUUUGACUUUUCAUGGACCAGUAAAUUCCUUUCUGUGGUGAAGUAUUUCUAUAACAGUGAAAAAGCUUGUAAUGCAGACAGUUCUGAAUCAAAUAUUGGAACGUGUGAUUUCAUGAGUGACGAGUAUGAUUUGGACAGAGACAGUGAAUAAAAUAUGAGAAUUUAAGACAGGGGCGCCUGGAUGGCUCAGUUGGUUAAGCACCCAACAUCAGCUCAGGUCUUGAUCUCACAGUUUAUGAAUUUGAACCCUGCAUCAGGCUGUGUGCUGUCAGCUCAGAGUCCACUUCGGAUGCUCUGUCUCCCUUUCUCUCUGCCUCUCCCCUGCUCACGCGCGCUCUCUCUCUCCCUCUCUCAAAAGUAAGUAAACAUUAAAAAAAAAGAAGUUAAUAAAAAAAAAAGAAGUUAAUAAAAAAAAAAAAAGUUAAGAAGGUCCUAGAGGGGCGCCUGGGUGGCGCAGUCGGUUAAGCGUCCGACUUCAGCUCAGGUCACGAUCUCGUGGUCCGUGAGUUCGAGCCCCGCGUCGGGCUCUGGGCUGAUGGCUCAGAGCCUGGAGCCUGUUUCGGACUCUGUGUCUCCCUCUCUCUCUGCCCCUCCCCCGUUCUGCCUCUCUUUGUCUCAAAAAUAAAUAAACGUUAAAAAAAAUUUUUUUUUAAAUAAAAAAAAAAAAAGAGAGUCCUAGAAAGUCAGGGAUGUAUUGUUUAUGUGACAAUGUUACAUUUGUGUAUUAGGUGUAAAUUCACACUUAAAGUUUCAUAAUUAUAAAUCACAAUGUUUCCUGAUUAUGAUGUAGCUUCAAGACUGGCAACUGGAGCCUUGAGAAUUCUGCUCUGAGUGUUGAUCACCUUCUGAUCAUCCACUUCUCUGUCACUUUCACUGUCAAUGAAGGUGGUUUGAGGUUGUCUGCAAAAUAAGACUCAAGUUUCUCUCUUCGCCCCCGUCCCAAAGGCUCUAAAAACAAGCACACAAACAUUUUCGAAUUGUAUCAGUGUUUUUGCUGCUAAUAGUCAUGGGAAGACAGAUGUUCAAUAUCACAAUCAAUGAGUCUCCAAGAAUCAUUAAAAAAAGAAUCUUCAAAAGCCCUACUUAUGGUUAUUCCUGGUCAUCGUCUAAAUGUUAGUGGGACUCAGGCCAACGUCUUCUAGCUCAAUAUCCCAACCUUCUUAGAUGCUCCUUUGGGACAGGGGGCUCUGCUCGUCCUAGAGGACCGGACUAAUGACCUGCGAGCUUCUUGGAACUCUGAAAGUCUGUAAUCUCUACCAGCUCCUCAGUUAACACCUUUCACAAUAUAUUUAACUAAUCAAGAGAUGGAGAAGGAGAAUAGACUCUGGGAGCCAGACAGACCUGGGUUUGAAACCCACUGUAUUAAUUUUCUGUAGCUGGGUAACAAACCACACACAUAGUGGCUUGAACACAUACUCAUUAUCUCACAGUUUCUGUGGGUCAGGAGUUCAAGCCUUGCUGGGUUCUGUGCUUCAGAGCCACACGAGGUUGUAACCAAGGUGUCCAUCAGGAAGGGGUUCUCACCCCCAGGGUCAACUUCUAAAUAGUCACUUUAACAACUUGGAUAUGUAGAUUUAUGAACUUCAUCAAAUUUGGAAAGAUUUACUCACAAUUUUUUUUUCAAAUAUUCUUUCUGCCCCGUUCUCUUUCUUGUCUGCUUCUGGAACUCCCAUUACGUGUGUGUUUGAAGGCAUCCCGUACAUCUUUUGUUUGUUUUUGAAGCUUCUCAAAGCAUGGUUCUUAAGCCAUCAACACCAACUUGGAAGUUGUUGGAAAUGCAAAUUCUUAGGCUUUGCCCCAGAUAUAUUGAAGAGACUGUGGGAAAGAGGCCCAACAAUUGUGUGUGUGUGUGUGUGUGUGUGUGUGAAUUAAAGAAUAGUUGACACACAAUGUUACAGUAGUUUCAGGUGUAUACCAUAGUGAUUUGACAAAUCUAUAUGUUAUACUAUGCUUACCAUAUACUUGCAAUAUCAUAGACCAUAUUCCCUACACUGUACCUUUCAUUCCCAUGACUUAUUCAUUCCAUAACUGGAAGUCUGUACUUCUUAUUCCCUUUCACCCAUUUUGCCCAUACCCCAACUUCAUACCCUCUGGCUACCAUUAGGUUGUUCUCUGUAUCUAUGAGUCUGCUUCUGUUGUGUUUGCUCCUUUGUUUUGUUUUUUAGAUUCCCCAUGUAAGUGAAAUCAUGUGGUAUUUGUCUUUCUCUGACUAACUUGUUUCAUUUAGCAUAGGGUUCUUCAUGAACCCGUAGGUUCAUCCAUGUUGUUGCAAAUGUCAAGAUCUCAUCUUUUUUUUUGGGGGGGGGGAGAGGGUGGAAGAGAGAGGAAAAGGAAAAGAGAUACAGAAUCCCAAACAGGCUUUAUGCUGAUCAUGGAGCCCAAAAUGAGGCUGGAUCCCAGGACUCUGGGAUCAUGACCUGAGCCCAAAUCAAGAGUCAGAAGCUCAACCAAAUGAGCCACCCAGAUGCCCCAAGGUCUCAUUCUUUUUUAUGGGUAACAUUGCAUUGUGUACAUACACCAUAUCUUCUUUGUCCAUUCAUCUAUUGAUGGACACUUAUGUUGCUUCCAUAUCUUGCCUAUUGUAAUAGCUGCAAUAAUAAUAGACAAUGCUACAGUAAACAUAGAGAUGCACAUAUCUUUUUGAAUUAGUGGAAUAUCCAGGAAUGGAAUUACUGGAUCAUAUGAUAGUUCCAUUUUGAAGUUUUUGAGGAACAUCCGUAUGUUUUCCACAGUGGUUACACCAGUUUAUAUUCCCACCACCCAUGCUCAAGGGUUCCUUUUUCUCCAUAUCCUCACCAACACUUGUCAUUUCUUGCCUUUGUGAUUUUAGCUAUUCUGACAGGUGUAAGGUAAUAUUUCAUUGUGGUUUUGAUUUGCAUUUCCUUGAUGAUUAGCAGUUUUGAGAGCAUCUUUUCGUGUGUCUGAUGGCCGUUUGUAUGUCUUCCUUGGAAAAAUGUGUAUUCAUAUCCUUUGGCCAUUUUUUAAUUGGACGGUUUGGUUUUUUGGUGUUAAGUUGUGUACAUCCUUUGUAUAUUUUGGAUAUUAACCCCUUAUUGGAUAUAUCACUUGCAAUUAUCUUCUGCCGUUCAGAAGGUUGUCUUUUGUUUUGUUGAUGGUUUCCUUUGCUGUGCAAAAUCCUUUUAUUUUGUCAGUCCUAAUAGUUUAUUUUUGCUUUUGUUUCCUUUGCCUGAGAAGACAUCUAGAAAAAUGUUGCUAAGGCCAGUGUCCGAGAGAUUACUGCCUGUACUCCUCUGGGACUCUUAUGGUGUCAGGUCUUACAAUUAGGUCUUUAAUUCAUUUUCAGUUUAUUUUUGUGUUUGGUGUAAGAAAGUGGCCCAGUUUCAUUCUUUUGCAUGUAGGUGUCCGGUUUUGCUAACACCAUUUGUUGGAGAGAUUGUCUUUUUCCCAUUGCAUAUUCUUGCCUCCUUUAUCGUAGAUUAAUUGACCAUAUAAGAAUGAGUUUAUGGGGUGCCUGGAUGGCUCAGUUGGUUAUACAUCUGACUCUUGAUUUUGGCUCAGGUCAUGAUCUCACACUUUGUGAGACUGAGUCCCAUGUUAGGCUUUGCAUGGCACAGAGCCUGCUUGGGAUUCUCUCUCUCCUCUCUCCCUGCCCCUCCCCCUGCUGGUGCUCACUUCUCUCAAAAUAAGUCAACUUAAGGGGCGCCUGGGUGGCUCAGUCGGUAGAGCGUCCGACUUCAGCUCAGGUCAUGAUCUCACAGUUUGUGAGUUUGAGCCCUGCGUCGGGCUCUGUGCUGACAGCUCAGAGCCUGGAGCCUGCUUCCGAUUCUGUGUCUCCCUCUCUCUCUGCCCCUCCCCUUCUAAUGCUCUGUCUCUCUCUCUCUGUCUCAAAAAUAAAUUUAAAAAAAAAUUAAGUCAACUUAAAAAAAAAAAGAAUGUUUAUUUCUGGGCUCUCUAUUCUUUCCCAUUGAUCUACAUGUCUACUUUUUGUGCCCAUACCAUAUUGUUUUAUUAUUUUAGCUUUGUAGUAGAUCUUAAAAUCUGAGAUUGUGACUCUUCCAGCUUUAUUCUUUCUCAAGAUUGUUGGCUACCUGAGGUCUUUUGUGGUUCCACAUAAAUUUUAGAAUUCUUUGUUCUAGUGCUGUGAAAAACGAUAUUAGUAUUUUGAUAGGUAUUACAUUGAAUCUGUAGAUUGCUUUGGGUAUAUAGGCUUUUAAAAAAAUGUUUAAUCAUUUAUUUUGAUAGAGAGAGUACACACACAUGCACAAGCAGCAGAGGGGGAGAGAGAAUCCCCAGCAGGCUCUGUGCUGUCAGCACAAAGUGCAAUGCAGGGCUCGAUGAUGAACUGUGAGAUCAUGAGCUGAGCCAAAAUCAGGAGUCAAAUGCUAAACUGACCACCCAGGUGCCCCAAGGGUAUAUGGACAUUUUAACAAUAUUAAUUCUUCUAAUCCAUGAGCAUGGUAUAUCUUUCCAUUGUUCAUGUUGCUUUGCAAUUUAUUUUAUCAUUGUUUUGUAGUUUUCAGAGUACAGGUCUUUCACUCCCUUGGUUAAGUUUAUUCCUAGGGGUUUUGUGUGUGUGUGUGUGGGGGGGAGGGUAUAAUUAUAAAUGGGAUUUUUAAAAAUUUCUCUUUCUGCUAUUUUGUUAUUAGUAUAUAAAAAUGCAACAGAUUUAUGUGUAUUAAUUUUGUAUCCUGCAACUUUACUGAAUUCAUGUAUUACUUUUAACAGUAUUUUUUGGUGGACAUUUUGGGGUUUUCUUUGUAUAGUGUCAUGUCAUCCAAAAAUAGUGACAAUUUUACUUCUUCCUUACCAAUUCAGUUGCCUUUUAUUUCUUUUUCUUGUCUGAUUGCUGUGGCUAGGACUUCCAGUACUAUGUUGAAUAAAAUUUUGAGAAUGGACAUCUUUGUCUUGUUCUUAAUCUUAGAGGAAAAACCCUCAGUAUCUUACCAUAGCCAUCUAUGUUUUAACAAGCCCUCUAGGGGCACCUGGGUGGCUCAGUCAGUUAAGUGUCCGACUUUGGCUCGGGUCAUGAUCUCAUGUUUGUGGGUUUGAACCCUACAUCAGGCUCUGUGCUGACAGCUCAGGGACUGAAGCCUGCUUUAGAUUCUGUAUCUCCCUCUCUCUCUGCUCCUCCCCUGCUUGUGUUCUGUCUCUGUUUCUCAAAAAGUAAAAUAAAAAAUGUAAAAAACAAAACAAAACAAAACCCACAAGCCCUCCGGGCAGUUCCUGUACGUGCUAAGGUUUGAAAACCACUGGUUUAGAUAGUUCUGAAUUUAUUGAUUUAGGGUAUCCAUGUAUCUUUCAAUUAAUUGAUUAAGUAAUUGAUUCUAGUCAUACUUGUUGAACUCCUGCUAGGUGCUAAGCACAGGGGAUACAAUGGUAAGACACUACCUCUACUCUACAUGACCGAAUACUGUUCUUGCACUCACUGGAUCACUCAGUGUUUUCAGGAAGGCUGCCCACAUAAACAGGUUAUGCAAAAAUGUAGUUGUGAAUAGCUAUUGUGCGAGCCCAGGGCUGAGGACUAAACACAGAUAUUCAUCCUAAACCUGAAACAGGUAAUCAUUAUUUCCAGGCUGAGCUGAGAAAAAUCCUAUAGAACCACUAUGGUUUGAAUAAAGGAGAUGAUGAGAUAGCAGAGUGGGUAGAAAUGUGUUGAGCAACUUUUUGUACAGAUGGGGAAGAAUCCAUUUCUACUCUGGUCCCUAAAUUCAAUGUCCCAUCGCUGAGCCAAGGACACUCUUAUCCUUAUAUUAUCCUUAUCCUUAUCUUUUUUUGUAUGGAUGUGAUUAUAAGGCAAGGUAUAUGUCAUUUAUCAUUUGGUGUGAAAGAAAAAUCUAUGAGAUUAAAAAGUUUGUAAUGGGCAAUUUCAAAUAUACAUGAAAGUAGAGAGAAUUGUAUCCUAAACCCCUAUAUACUUAAAAUCCAACUUUUGACCUAGUCGGUGUGAGGACCAGUAAGAUCAUGUAGGCAAAGCCUUUAGCUGAGAGCCUUACUCUCAGUAAACUUUCAAUAAUGACUUGUCGUACCAGUCAGGGUUCAAAAAAAAAAGCAGAACCACUCACUGGAGAUUUGCUAUAGGGAUUUGAUCUAAUGCAAUCGUGGAGGCUGAUUUCAGUCUGUGAGGCUGUUGCCUUUGUGCCUGUUGAUAGGACCCGAAGUCAGUAGGACAUGCUGGAACGCGCAUCA
rnacentral:lncRNA from 1 species